rnacentral:rRNA from 1 species
GGCGAACGGGUGCGUAACACGUGGGCAACCUGCCCCAGACUCUGGGAUAACUCCGGGAAACCGGGGCUAAUACCGGAUACUCUCGGCUGACCGCAUGAUCGGCUGAGGAAAGCUCCGACGGUCUGGGAUGGGCCCGCGGCCUAUCAGCUUGUUGGCGGGGUCACGGCCCACCAAGGCUUCGACGGGUAGCUGGUCUGAGAGGACGACCAGCCACACUGGGACUGAGAUACGGCCCAGACUCCUACGGGAGGCAGCAGUGGGGAAUCUUGCGCAAUGGGCGAAAGCCUGACGCAGCGACGCCGCGUGGGGGACGAAGGCCCUCGGGUUGUAAACCCCUUUCGGCAGGGACGAAGCGAUCACGUGACGGUACCUGCAGAAGAAGCCCCGGCUAACUACGUGCCAGCCGCCGCGG